rnacentral:rRNA from 1 species
AUGCAAGUCGAACGAGAGAGAGGGAGCUUGCUUCCUCGAUCGAGUGGCGAACGGGUGAGUAACGCGUGAGGAACCUGCCUCAAAGAGGGGGACAACAGUUGGAAACGACUGCUAAUACCGCAUAAGCCCACGACCCGGCAUCGGGAAGAGGGAAAAGGAGCAAUCCGCUUUGAGAUGGCCUCGCGUCCGAUUAGCUAGUUGGUGAGGUAACGGCCCACCAAGGCGACGAUCGGUAGCCGGACUGAGAGGUUGAACGGCCACAUUGGGACUGAGACACGGCCCAGACUCCUACGGGAGGCAGCAGUGGGGAAUAUUGCACAAUGGGGGAAACCCUGAUGCAGCGACGCCGCGUGGAGGAAGAAGGUCUUCGGAUUGUAAACUCCUGUUGUUGAGGAAGAUAAUGACGGUACUCAACAAGGAAGUGACGGCUAACUACGUGCCAGCAGCCGCGGUAAAACGUAGGUCACAAGCGUUGUCCGGAAUUACUGGGUGUAAAGGGAGCGCAGGCGGGCGAUCAAGUUGGAAGUGAAAUCCAUGGGCUCAACCCAUGAACUGCUUUCAAAACUGGUCGUCUUGAGUAGUGCAGAGGUAGGCGGAAUUCCCGGUGUAGCGGUGGAAUGCGUAGAUAUCGGGAGGAACACCAGUGGCGAAGGCGGCCUACUGGGCACCAACUGACGCUGAGGCUCGAAAGUGUGGGUAGCAAACAGGAUUAGAUACCCUGGUAGUCCACACCGUAAACGAUGAUUACUAGGUGUUGGGAGAUUGACCCUCUCAGUGCCGCAGUUAACACAAUAAGUAAUCCACCUGGGGAGUACGACCGCAAGGUUGAAACUCAAAGGAAUUGACGGGGGCCCGCACAAGCAGUGGAGUAUGUGGUUUAAUUCGACGCAACGCGAAGAACCUUACCAAGUCUUGACAUCCCUUGACGAUGCUGGAAACAGC